UUGUUGCGUUAGCUCUAAAAAUGAUAGGUUUUAUAUCUUGGUUGACUCAUUAUAGUUACAAAGCAACACGUAGAUUGACAGCUCCAAGGUAUUUUCGUAUAUCACAGAAAAUUAUAAACCUGCAGAUACUCUCUUCUCCAUAACUUUGUUUUUGGAUUACCUUAGCUUUUUCUCUGUGAACUUCGGACUUUAUGUUGCUGUGUCUACUCAAUUGAAAGAUCCUCUUUUGAUAUUUUGCUUGGUUUUCCUGUUGGGUUUCUCUGAAGAAUACAUUGUCUGCUAAUCAGAGGUUAUAGCGACUGCUACUUGAGAAGUUCUAUUUUGAAUUUUUUACUUAUUUCAAGGGGAAGAGGCUGGAUCAAUGGAGGGCUGACAUUAGUUUGCCGUUAGAGCCAAUUUACUGGUGUAUCAAAAUGAUAUGUAAUUUCUCAUGCAUAUUUGUUUUCAUAGUCUGAUAAUGGUUUGUGUAGAGCAAUUUAGCAACUUUAAGAGAAGUUUAUUCAUUUUUUUGGCAGCGAUCAAGUUUUGUGACUAUAAAAAGAUGUGACGACCAGGCCGAUCGUCUUAAGAAUUAA